rnacentral:lncRNA from 1 species
GGAGUGUGUCGUGGCACGCGAGAGGCGCGUGAGCAUGCGGCGGAUUUCGUCUUUGCGGAUGUGGAGGAAGUUGGUGAUGCGGUUGUUGGAGAGGAUCUCGUUGGCGCAGAUGCGGCGGAGGUUACGCCAGUGGUCGCCGUAAGGAGCGGUUCCGACGGUUGUGUGGUUGUAGGCGACGUAUUUGGCCGUGAGCUGGAGCGGGCGGCUCGAGAGGAUGACGUCGUUUUGGCCGGUGAAGGCUUCUUGGGCGAGUGAAGGGGAAGUGAUCACCACGACGCGGCGGGAGCCGAAACGGAGGGAGAAGAUUGGGCCGUAUUUGUCGGAGUAGCGUUGGAGGAGACGGUGGAUCGGUGGUUUCAUGAGGUGGAGAUGGCCGACGAAGGGACGUGACGGUGGACCAGGAGGGAGGUUAAAACGCUCAGUUUUGGAGAAGAGGAACUUAUAAGCCAAGAGGACAAGGAGAGGAAGAAGGAUGAAGUAGAACAUUUUUGUUCUCUUUCUUUGGCUAGUUUUCAGAGUGUUUUUGUGUGUUUCUCUAUUUGUGGUGGAUUAUAGCUUUGGUUUGUUUGGUUUAUAUAGAGAGAAAUAAAAUAAAAUUAAGUCAUUGUUUAAAUGUUUAGUGUAUUUUUUUCUUUUCAAUAUGUUUGUUUGCUGUCAGUGACACUGUCAUAAUUACAACGUGCAGCGUUAACAAAUGCAGUGAAUAUUUUGAGUUUCAUCAAAUGCGCUCUAUGGAGUCAAGUCUUAAAGUAUGGUAUAAAUAAUCAUCACCCCAAAAUAAAUAAGGGUGUGAUUGGUUUUUGGUGGAGUAAUAUGGUGAAAAUAAAAUGGUGAAAAGUGGUGGAAAAAGAAACGUCAAAUCAAGAGUAAAACAUUUCUAGUGGAACAUAUUAAUGUACUUUUCCACUUUUUUAGCGUUAAUGGGUAAAAAGCAUUUUCACAUGAUUGGUAACUAAAUAAUGGGAAGUGGCAUGGAGUCAAGUCUUAAAAAGUAUGUUAAAAAAAUAUUCGUCAAAAAAUAAAAAGUGUUGAGCAGGUUCUAGUAGUCGACGAUGACUAUGGAUAUACGUCAUUAUAUGACAGCAGUAUAAAUUAUGUUAAAAAGGUAAAUAUGACACGAGUAUUUGAUGAUUAAUACUCUUAUUUAUGUUUCUUCUUCUUUAUUAUAUUCAUGGAAUAUAAUAACUGAAUCUGGCAUGUUUCUGUGCUGUCAAGGUCAUAGUUAUAUAACGUGCCAACGUCAAUCAGUGAAGUGAAAAAAAUAUUUUAAGUUCGUCGAAUGCAUGUCGUGCACAUUGGGCUACUGCACAUCAGCACAUGUAUAUUCUGAGAAACUGGAAAGAAAUUAUGAUCUAUUUUUUUGAUCAAAAGAUUUGUACGUUCUAUUUAGAACUGUUAAGCUGAGCUUAAUUAAACACUUAUUAACCUUUCACAUGGGAAAUACCGAACCCAUGCAAGCUGGAAACGCUGUUUAACUUUGGUCAAUAUUGCUAUUAAUGUGGUAGUUAUUUGUUAUAAUACCGUUGUUGUGCGAAUUUCAGUCGGCAACAUGGAUAUUAAUUUACGAUUGUUUUAUUCACUGAACCUGUUUUUUUUAUAUGUCCAGAUGAUCCACUAAACCAUUUUAAACUCUUCGCAUUUUAACACUUUUGAUCAAAUGUAAUUCAUUAUAAACUUAAUAGUCGAUAAACUAAAUGGAAAACUAGUUUAUGAAAGUUCUAUUUAAUAUUAAGACGCAUCGCAAGUGACCAGCUGAAGUGUAGUUCUUUGUUUGUUUUGUCACAAGUUAUAACUUGCCAAACUAACUAAAAGACAAAGGAGUCAUAAGUCAGCGCAUCAGACGAGGGAAUUUACGAAUAUUGUAUCAAAAAUUGAUAUUAAAUCCCAGCAUGCAAGCUGCAAUUUGCAAGCUGCGAGGUUGUUAAUAAUGCUAAACAAAGUACGAUUUUGAUUUUAUCAAAUCGGAAGUCGCGAAAACGAUACUAUAGAUCGGUAUAUUAUUUACCAGAAAAUCGAUGAAUCACAUGCUUGCUGCGAGGUGUUGAGAGAGACGUAAACAAAUUACAAUUUUAGUUUAUAUACAAAUACAAAUUUCAAAAGCUCGGGGAAACAAAAAUAUAUACAACUCAUACAUCAAUAGUUAAUAUAAAGAUUAUAUGAUAAGAUGAAUUUUCACCAUAUCUUGUAGUAUGAGAGUCUGGUCCAAGCUAAUAAAAUUAAGUUAUAGUUUACACCACAUCUACUAGUGUCUUAUCAUUCGUAUUUGAUUCCACAUCCUUCAGUGGGUAUCCGAAGCAUUUGGUGUUAUUCUUUUCAACCUUAAAUCGGUGAGUUCACAUCACAUAAGUACAAAACUUGCGGGCCAUCUUCGGAAUGCACUGAUACGAAACAUGUGGUGGAACAUAAAACAUCAAAUGUAUGGUUGUUAUAACAUCAACCAUUUCUUGGUUAUCCUUUUCAACCUUGAAUCGUGUGACUUCAACUAAUCUUUGGGCUCAUCCUUGAAUAGAGACAAAAGAAGUUGUGGAACUCAAAAAGACAACGUGUGUUUUAGAACAUUAUUUAACCCCAUUGGACCUUUAAGCCAUGACUUCAAGGAACCUUUGUGCCCAUCCUUGAUGGUGAUGUUACAAAGACGCGACUGAUAAUAAUAUUACAACAUAGUUUCAUCAUUUUGUGCAAACAUUAUAAUGAUUGAAAAUAAUAAAGUACGUACGUAUAACAAAAGUCUUCUUUUAUCCUCCACUUAAAGACACUUCUCCAACUAAACUAGAAGCUUAGCCAUAAUGGGUCUAGGCCUACACAUGGCCCGUAGAGGAUCAAGCUUGUGCAUACCCAACCCAGUACUCUCCGACAUAUCAAUCUCUUCACCUUUCACAUUCUCCCAAUCAAAACACUGAAUCAACGAUCCUAGCGCCAACGUCACUAUCCUCCUCCCUAGUCCAGCGCCGGGACAUACUCUUCGGCCGUUUCCAAACGGCAUCAGCUUAUAAGCGCAUAACUCGCUGCCGCAUCCUUUAAACCUAUCCGGGUUAAACCUCUCUGGAUCAUCCCAAAGCUCAGGAUCUCUGUGUAUAGCCCAAGCGUUAACAAUCACUAUCGUCUCACGCGGUAUGUCGUAACCACCGAUCUUCAUGUCCUCCGUCGGCGUGCGAGGGACUAGUAGCGGUGCCACUGGAAACAGUCGGAAUGUCUCGGAGACCACGUCUUGGAGGUAAGGAAGUACGGCGAUGUCUGGCUCGUCGAUAAGACGGCCCUCUCCGAUCUUCUCAUCUAUCUCCGAUCUUGCCUUCUUCAACACGUCAGGGUGUCUAAGCAAAUUCGUCAUCGCCCACUCUAGGGUUAUGGCGGAGGUCUCGGUUCCCGCGAGCAUCAUGGCCUACGUAGUUUUAAAACCAUGUGAAUAAUUAUCAUUAUAAUUAAAUUUAGUUGGAAUUUUUUUAUAUCAUAAGUUAUUGUUUAGUAUGUAAUAUAUUUUAUAAUUUGCAUAAGUUUUCAGAAAAAAAUUAUAAUUAUAAUUGAAAAUUUUGCUUUCAUCAUCACUAAAUAGAGAUUACCAUCAUUAGCCCUUUGAUAGUGACGUCACUGUAAUACUCAGGCUCUUGUUCUUGCAAAGACAGCAAGUGAGUGACCAUUGUGUUACCAUCUUUGUCUCUCCUACACUCAUCGAGCAAACGCUGCAGAAUCUCGUCCAUGGACUUUCCGAGAGCUUUGACUUCCUCCUCGAACUUGUUUCCGAACAGUUUCAGCACCGGCAAGUAAUCCGCCGUGUGAUUCGCGCCGCUGUACACGGCGAUGUCGUAAACGAGCUUCUUGAACAAUUCUGCUUCUUCCUUGUUGUUCACGUCAUCGCCAUAAUAUCUCUUCCCUGUGACCAUUCUUACGAUGUUGUUGAACGUUAGGUCUGAGAAAAGCGGUUCUAGCUCGACGUGGGUGAAACGGCUCCCGCCGUCGGAGUGAGUCGUGUCACGUGAGAGGCGCAUGAGCAUGAUGCGGAUUUCGUCUUUACGGAUGUGGAGGAAGUUGGUGAGACGGUUGGAGGAGAGGAUCUCGAGGGCGCAUAUGCGGCGGAGGUUACGCCAGUGGUCGCCGUAAGGAGCGGUUCCGACGGUUGUGUAGUUGUAGGCAACGUAUUUGGCCGUCAGUUGGAAAGGCCGGCUCGAAAGAUUGAUGUCGUUUUGGCCGGUGAAGGCUUCUUGGACGAGUGAAGAGGAAGUUAUGA